rnacentral:misc_RNA from 1 species
UAUUGAGAUUAAUAAAAUUGUUGAAAAUUAAUUCUCUUUGCUAUAGGAUUUGUUCCACGUUCUUCUUUGUUCUGCUUCAAUUUUGGUAUCAGAGCCCAAAUUCAAUCCAAAUUUUCAUAAGCUUUCGCAAACUUUCAGACCUUCCAUUGUGCCCUCAAAAUUUCCCUCUAAUCUGUCCAAAAUUUUUUGCCUUGUUUACUGAUUAAAAAAAAAAAAAAA